UGACGUCAGUGAAAUAAAUGACAAGACGGAGGGGAUAAGUACAACCAGUAGCCAUGACAGCCACUCAGUGCUGACACAGACGUUGGGAGAUACACAGAGUCCUCUCACAGACAGUUUACUUAAUUUGGUGAGGAAUAUCUUCCAGCACCGCACAAACACCUCAAAGACAAUGAGGAUUGUUAUCGGCAUCCUAUCAGGCUUCAGAGGAGCAUCGUAGCCAAGCAGGACUUGCGGUAAUGAUAAGUCAACAUUGUGUCACUCUCCAGUCAGCUAAGGAGGCAAAACCCACUCGUAUUCCGGGCUGGACAUGACGGGUGUUGAAUGGUCCAAGCAUACCAUAACGAAUGCUGAUUGGUGUUGAACUACCCAUGACCUACAUUGAUUGGUGUAGAGCCUUUCGUCG